AAAGUAAGGAUUUACAUGCAAACGAGUCAGAAACAACAGCAAAGGAUUAAGGCUGCAGCCCUCUACAUCUCCACCUGUGAGUAAGUCUAACUGGCCUUGGUGGGACUUACUUUUAAGUGAACAUACAUAGAAUGUACUCAAAGUACGGACAAAACAUUUUUACAAGGCAAGGCAUAUUUUUACUCAGAAAAUGCUUCUCCUUAAGUGGGUCUAGGACUACAGCCUUCCCAUGUAUUUCUAAGUUUCGUAAACUAUCCUAGUAAGGAAAUCAGUAAAAGAAUUCUGUAGCCUGUAUGAUAAGAUCAUCUUCCAUUGGAACAAGGAAGAAGCUUGGAACUUGGAGACAUGGUUGAAUACAACUUAUAAAAAGGCAAAGACAACAAAGACGGUGCAGAGAAGGUGAACAAGACGCAUGCAGUGAACAAUGGCCUCGCAGAUGAUGCUGAUCCAACUGUUUACAUGGGUAAAGUUAUUUGUCCUCUCAGGAGUGUACGAGUAGAUCCAACUCAGACUUAAUACCAGGGAAUGAUUGAAGCCUUGGAGGAGGAUGAAAUGAAAGUUCAGAGACUUCCCAGAACAAAGCAUUGUUGGAUCAAAGGAAGAUGGCAUGCAGAACUACAAGAGAAUUUUGAAUUACACAAAACUGCCAGAUGCUGUUUCUUUCUUUGCAGUAAACUUAGCAAAAGAUACAGCUUUUUAUUAAAGUCCAAUCCUUAUGCAGUGGUCUCCUGGAAUAUUAUGUCUACUUCUGGACACCAUAGUUUAAGAAGGAUAUUAAGAAUUUGGGCUGUGCCCAGAGGAAGGGAACCAGGAUGAUAAAGG
rnacentral:lncRNA from 1 species